GAAAUGCGAUAAGUAAUGUGAAUUGCAGAAUUCCGUGAAUCAUCGAAUCUUUGAACGCACAUUGCGCCCCCUGGCAUUCCGGGGGGCAUGCCUGUCCGAGCGUCAUUUCUGCCCUCAAGCACGGCUUGUGUGUUGGGUGUGGUCCCCCCGGGGACCUGCCCGAAAGGCAGCGGCGACGUCCGUCUGGUCCUCGAGCGUAUGGGGCUCUGUCACUCGCUCGUGAAGGACCUGCGGGGGUUGGUCACCACCAUAUUUCACCACGGUUGACCUCGGAUCAGGUAGGAGUUACCCGCUGAACUUAAGC
rnacentral:misc_RNA from 1 species